rnacentral:rRNA from 1 species
GACGAACGCUGGCGGCGUGCUUAACACAUGCAAGUCGAACGGGUCUGCCCUGUUUUUUGCGGGGUGGGUCAGUGGCGAACGGGUGAGUAACACGUGAGUAACCUGCCCCUCACUUCUGGAUAACCGCUUGAAAGGGUGGCUAAUACGGGGUGUUCUGGCUGUGCCGCAUGGUGUGGCUGGGAAAGAUUCACUUUUGUGGUGUUUUGGUGGGGGAUGGGCUCGCGGCCUAUCAGCUUGUUGGUGGGGUGAUGGCCUGCCAAGGCUUUGACGGGUAGCCGGCCUGAGAGGGUGGGCGGUCACACUGGGACUGAGAUACGGCCCAGACUCCUGCGGGAGGCAGCAGUGGGGGGUAUUGCACAAUGGGCGGAAGCCUGAUGCAGCGACGUCGCGUGAGGGAUGGAGGCCUUCGGGUUGUGAACCUCUUUCGCCGGUGAAGAAGGUCCUGCUCUUUGUGGUGGGGUUGACGGUAGCCGGGUUAUGAAGCGCCAGCUAACUACGUG